rnacentral:rRNA from 1 species
CAGUAGCCGCGGUAAUACGUAGGGUGCGAGCGUUAAUCGGAAUUACUGGGCGUAAAGCGUGCGCAGGCGGUUGUGUAAGACAGGUGUGAAAUCCCCGGGCUUAACCUGGGAACUGCGCUUGUGACUGCACAGCUAGAGUAUGGCAGAGGGGGGUGGAACUCCACGUGUAGCAGUGAAAUGCGUAGAGAUGUGGAGGAACACCGAUGACGAAGGCAGCCCCCUGGGCCAAUACUGACGCUCAUGCACGAAAGCGUGGGGAGCAAACAGGAUUAGAUACCCCCGUAGUCCCUGUCUCUUAUAC